CCCUAUGGGGUGCACCAGUUGAUCAAAGAAGCGGAAGAAGUACGUGAUCAUCAGGUUGCGGAUGUGCAGCCCGUCCACGUCGGCAUCGGUGGCGAGGAUGACCUUGUCGUAGCGCAGCCCUUCGAGGUUGUCCUCGAUGUCCAGGCCGCGCAUCAGGUUGUAAAGCUCGUCAUUCUUAUAGACGACGUCCCGCUUGAGGUCCCACACAUUGAGCGGUUUGCCCCGAAGGACGAGGAUGGCCUGCGUCUGGACAUCGCGGCAGCUCACGAUCGAGCCGGCGGCCGACUGGCCCUCGGUGAUAAAGACCAUCGUUCCCCUCCCCUGGCCCUUGCUCUUGUUGAAAUGCUCCUUGCAAUCCUUGAGCUGCGGAAUGCGGAUGGUGAUGGCCCGGGCGCGCUCGCGCGCGAGCUUCUUCACCUCCUGCAGUUCCUUUCGGAAUUGGCGGGGGGGC
rnacentral:rRNA from 1 species